rnacentral:lncRNA from 1 species
GAGCUAGUAGGGGGAGAUAGUAGAGACUUCUUAUGCAACUGAUAGCAGAGAGUGGGUUGGUGAUUACCUUAGGGCAAGGCUAGGAUGAGAUUAGCGUGAGAACAACAGUAGUAGUAGAAGGGACUUGGUGGAGUCAAGGUAGUUCUUGAGGAAAGUAUGGAUAGAUGUGGAUGGUAGUAUGGGCCCGUACUACUGAAAGUAGAAGAACCGUACUCGAAUCAAGGAAGGCUGAGAUGAACCAUGUAAACUUGUAGUGUGUGAGAUCCUUCGAGUGAUGAUAUUGUUGGAUUAAUGUCUAAGUCCAUAACUAUAAUUGGUAAGACUUGACCCCACCCGGCAUGGUCCAUUUGGGUUGCAUACCAUCAUGCACUUGGAUAGACUUUAAUGAGAGAAAUAAGACACUUAUGGUUAUUAAUAUAUUAUAAGUUCUAGUAUAUUAAUAAUAAGAAUAAUAAGAUUAUUUAAUUAGUAUUGAUCAAGAAUUAAUCUAGGAUUAAUUAAGUGAUCAAAAGAAGACUAAUUAAAUAUAUGGGUUGAUUGUGUAAAUCAUCCAUACUUGUAUAGUGGGCUAAUGCUCCAUGGAUAAUCAAGUUGGGCUAAAACCCAUAGGAUGGCCCAUGGAUGCUCCAUGGUGUAUUUGUACCCAUGGAUCAUGGAAAUGAAAGGCCAUGUCAAUUAGGGUUUACAUGGUGUAACCCUAACUAUAUAAGCAUCUUAUUCUUGACCAAAUCGGCCACUAGUGUGUGAAGUAAAAGGGCUAGCCGAUUUCAUGAGUUGUAGAAUUCUCUCAAGUUAUUCUAAGUGUUUUGGUGAUUGUGAUUCCAUUUGAGGCUUCCACACUAUUGGGGCUAGGCACUCAAGCUUCAUGAAGACUUUCUACAUCAAAGAGGUAUGUAUUCUAUCUUGUUACACUCAUUGUUUUUGUAUGCUAGAUUAGGAUUAUACCUUGGAAGUUCUUAUUUGCAUGUAUAAUAGAGAAAACAUAGAUCCAAGGUAUUUAGGGUUGCAUGUACACUUAGGAGUGUUAGAAUGCUCAAAACCCAACAGUGGUAUCAGAGCCUAGGCUUGUUUUCUUGUUAUACCUGCAAUAGAAGCUGAAAAAACGAAUUUGGUGCUGUCUGAUCAUCUGACUCGGCGAGUCCAUCAGGAGACUCGGCGAGUCCAUGCCUAAAAAGUGAUGAAUUCGAUCCAACUCGCCGAGUUGGUUCAUGCACUCGACGAGUUGGACCCCCAGACAGCAUAUUUUCGAGUUUUUUGGCUAGAAAUGGACUAGGAACAUUACCCUAAGUUGUUUUUGAACUUAUAAACUUGUUUUUGAUGUGGUAAUGUUCAUGCUAAUCCAUUUUCAAAGAUAAUUGUCAAUAGAUUCAUGUUUUGUAUUAGUUUAAGGUUUAGACUAAUUACAUGAAAAAGUUUGAUUUGAAUUAUCUUGUUCUUAUGAGUUGCUUAGAUUAAUAGAAAAGUUGAGUGAAAUAGUUGUUUUCAAUCCAUUUUAAUCUAAGAGUUGAGUAUAAAAUGUGUUUGUGUAACUUGUCCUCAAGUUACAUGAAGAGUCACAUUAAAGACUCAUAAAACUCAUAAAAGUUGGCAAUGGUUACAAAAUGAAGAGUCUUGUGUCAUUGAAUAAUUUUUUUUGACUCCAUAACUUGUCCUCAAGUUAUGGAAGUUCAAGAGUCACUUCAUUAAAGAAAAAUAUGUAACCAUAAUUAAAUCCAUAAGUUAUAAAAUAAAGAAAAAGUUAGUUCUUUUAUUAGUUUAAAGUCUUCCAUAACUUGUCCUCAAGUUAUGGAACUUGAAGAGUUUUUGGAUUAAAACUACUUUAAACACAUAAGUUAUGGAAUUAAUUAGUUUUGAAUAGUUUCAAAACUUGCCCUCAAGUUUUGGAAUUUGAAAAGUUUUCACUUAUGAAUACUUUAAUUCCAAGUUAGCCCUUAGAAUUUUAAAAGUUAAAAUUCAACCCUUAUACUUUAUAAUAUUAUAAGUUAAUAAUAUAUAUAUGUAUAAGAGUAAAGUCAGUCUUACCGCUAGUACGCCUCAUUCACGAAGCCGGUCUAUAAGGUGGGUAUAAGGUUGUUGCCUAUAAAAUGGCAACUUAAUGGGUGUCCACUCUCACCCACCGCUUGCUUGACUGGUGGAGGGUCGUUAGCCGAACGGGUUUGACAGGACUAGAAUUCUCCCUUCAUUAAAAGUAUUAAUGAUAAUACUAAGUAACUAAACUCUUAAUAAUACCCAAUCUUAGUUACUUAGGAAAAAUGUGAAUAAGGUGCUAAUCCAUGAAAUUACACUUUACACUUUGUCUAAGUCGUUAGUGGAGCGUGUGUGGUUAACCGGCACACUAACUUGGACUUAACAAGGUAGGUAAAGGGUGACUUAAUAUUUAUCAUAGUAUCGAUGGAGCGUGUGUGGUUAACCGGCACAUCGAUUGAGGGGUAAUUUAUUAAGGGUACCAAGUGAUUUGCAUGGUUACUUCACACCUUGUUUUGUGAUCCUCGGCAUCCCAGUCACAAAACCUGAAGGGCACACUCGAGAUUGAAACAUGCCUUUGAAAAGUUCAAUGAAUCUCAAAGAUCUAGGAGUUUCAAAACCAAUUAAAACCUAAUAAUACAUUUCGUUUAUCUUGGUGGAAAUUGGUGAAUCGUCAUUCACCUACCUUCAAAUAUUUUAUAGCUUGGAUUACGGCAUACCUCUUCUAAGUUAUAAAAUAGUUUGUUGGGUCCUAGCCUUAAUAUUUCAUAUUGGGUGUCAUAUUAAGGACUUUAAAUCAACUAUCUUGAAUAUCUCCCAAAAGAUGUCUGGUUUAGACACCUAUGAUCUUCCCAAAUCUCUUGAAACAAGGUUUCCUAAUGAAGAUGAUGUCCCAUGGAUAUCAUACUUCUUCACCUCUUCAAAUUAUUCUCCCUAACCCACAAGUUCUUGAAAAGUUUAAGGUCACUCAGGCCCUAUUGGCAAGGCAAGGUCUAGGUGUGGUCACAUCUUGGAGAUGUAGUCACAUAUUGACAAGCCGGGAGAGUUGGGUGUCAAAGUCUUGAGAAAGUUGGUGGUUCAACCACUUUCUAAGUCACAUAGUGAGUUCCUUUGGGACACCUAUGAAACAGACUAUGACAAGACCCUUAAUGAUCUUAUCUAUUUGCUAAGAUCAACUUCCUAAAACUUUAUGGACAUUGACAAUGAUGACAUUGGAUAUCCAGUAAAGCAUUCUCUUCCCAAUGGAAAGGGAUCGGCCAUAGUCAACUCGGUUGACCAAAUGGUAAAGAGAAAAGCUAAGUCUGUGAUAGUCCCGUGUACCAUUAUAUAAGGCUCCAUAUGUUUAUAUUGCCAAAGGAAGGGAAAUUGGUUACGAAUCUACAAAUUUACCUAAGGAUGUUAAAGUCAAUAAGUUUGACUCUACUUCAGGUAAAAUCCACUAUCUAACUCUGUUAAGUUUCUAUUCUGAGAUUCUUGAUACAUGAUGUGACCGGGUCGCAUGGUGAUGGUUUAAGAAUCAAAGGAAAGUGAAGAAACUUAAAGGAAGAAUAUGCUGAAUCUGAUCGCAUAGAUGGAUUUCUAUCGCGUAGUUUGAAGAUCGGAUUCUUGAGCUACUUCUUAGGAGUUAUGAGAUAUUGCUUAGGAAUAGAUAACAACAAGUUUUCAUAUGGAUUGUAAGGAUAAGUUUUUCCGCAAAGUUUUAAAAUAAAAGAAAAAUUUUAGAUGUUAUUUAUUUUUAAAAUAUUCUUACAAUGGCAUUUGGGAAAAAAUUGUUGCUUAUAUGAUUCCAAUAAUAGCAAGAGUGGAAAUAUGAAAUUGAUUCUUUCAUUUGUGGUAAUGUCUAAAUUUACCAAAUAAGGAAAGAUUCUCAUCACCCAAGUUUCAAGUGGACCGGAACUUGGAAUCAUGCAAGUUGUAUAGCAUGAUGAAUGAGAACUUUCAAGUAUUGGAAAAAUUAAGACUAAUUACUCGGUCACAUGGAUGUGUGAGUCAAGUAAAGGACUAAGGGAUCGAGUACACAUUCUUGUACACUGAUUUAGUCCACCACAAAAGAUUGACUAUUCGUCAUAGUUUACUAAAGCUCAGUAAAUAUGAUUAUACUUACAAGCUUAAGUGUAACUCUGAGACAUUGGAAAAGGUUCCAAUGUAUGGCAGGGCGAAUAAGAAGAAUCAAAUUAGGCAGAAGGAUAAAAGUUUCUCAUAUCUGAAAAGAUGGGAGAGUACUUUAGUAUCAGUUUUGUGAUCAUCUUAAUGAUUAAGAAACCAUAUCAAAAUUAGUUCUCUAAGGAAAUCUUAGUGCAUUCUUAUGACUAAGAAGAGGAACUUGAAUUGUUGAAAUGGUUAAAUCAAGAAGAUGAGUCAUACUUCGUUCCAAUACAAGUCUUAGAGUCAUACUCCAAGAUUGUAACUUGAGUGACAUGUCUCAAAAGAAGGUUUAAAACACUUGUCAAAUGUAAGAGUAAAAGUUUUCUACUCUUGUACAUUUGAAAUUGGUAAGUUGUGAUGUUUUGGAUAAAACAAAGACCAACUUAGGCCAAUUGGGUAAAGUGUUUUUCUUGAUUAGAAUCCGCACUAUCUCUUGGAUGUUUGACAAGGGAGUCUUAUAUGUCAAGAGGACAGUGGGAGUCUUAAAGGUCUUGAAAGUCUCAAGAAAUAAUCAAGAAUAAAACCUGAAGUUCUUCACUAGCACACGACUUGAGGUUUAUAACCUAUCGUGUUGACAUAUCUGUGCCCAUUCCAGUUAAAGUUGGCUUUGCAUAUGAGUUCUUAGAGUUCUCAGUUUGUUGCAUAACAACUUGGAAGCAAUGGCAGGCCCUUGAGCUGCCAGGUGGCAAGAAGUUAAGAUUGAGUUCAAUCCAUAUGGUUUUGGAUUUGUCAUUAUCUUUGUCUUGUGAUUAUGGUUUGACAAAUUCAUAUGGGUAGGAACUCAUACACCAUAUAAAUCUAAGUGUCAUAAGGUUUCUCUCCGAUUCAUGAAAAUGAUGGUGAGGAAACGCUUUCACUAAGUAGAUUUUACGAAGAUAUCAAUUGUGUUAUUUGCAUUUUCAAAAGUCGUUAGUGGAGCGCGUGUGGUUAACCGGCACACUAACAUGGACUUGUGAGAAAUGGCAAAUGCCUAAGCAAUUGAGACCAUGAUUACGGUAUCCCUUUUCAUGGUUCUUGAAAUUGCUUAGACACACAGGUGAGCUAUCUACGGAAAGGGUGUAUGAAUCUAAAUUUCAGACUGUCCAGCUGAUUUCUGAGUACAUGUCAAAGCUAGUGGGAGCAUAAGUGUUAUGCUAAUAAUCAUCAUGUUAGUGGGAGCAUGAUAAUUAUGAUAAGUAUUGCAAGUUAGCAAUGUUAAUUAUAGAAAACAAAAGUUUCAAUUGGGAAAAAGUUGUUUUGCUAUAAUUAAGGGAGAGGAAAUUAUGCUUCAUCUCAAAUCUAUAAGCUUAGAUCGUGAGGUUUUAAUCAUUUAGUCAAGGAUAUAUAUGAAUUUCAUGUUGGAAUGGCUCAACAUAAGGAAAUUCUGUAUAUGGGUCCAUUAUUUGCGUUCUAAAAUUCGAUUAUGAUUACGGCAUCCCUUUUCAUAAUCUGAAUUAUGAGAACUUGGCAAAUUGAAAUGGAAAUAUUAUAGCAAAAGACUGGUUUAGUCUUUAUGUAAGACAUCAUGAAUCGUGUCCCAUAUGCUUCGGAUAUAGGAUCGAUUACAUGUGCUAUAUUCAUCCGUUCUAAAAUUUUCCAAAUGCCUGGGGCAUUAAGAAGGGAAAAGGUUUAGAACUGGAUAUGACUAAAAGGAUUAAACAAUUGUCGAGGACAAUCUAAGGUUUACCAAAGAUUGGUUACUCAAGGACAAUUGGAAGUAUAGUGAUAAUUCUGGAAGGACCAUAUUGACAUAAUCUGUAAGGAGGCAACUCUUGUUCAGAAGUGAUAGUCAAAAUGGAAUCUGGAAAUGUUUCAAAGUUAGAAUUUUCAAUCUGUGUAAGAUUAAGGAAACUUAAUGCAAGAAGGAUAUUUCCAAGGAGUUGAUCUCCUUUGGAAUACUCUGUAAUGAUUGUUGCCAAGUCUUUGUGACUUUGUGCAUAAUCAUUACAAGAGGAUCAAUGCAUAUAAGUUUAGAAUCUAACAGAUUUCAGUAAAUGGCAUGAAUUUGGAAUUCUUGCAUUUGCAGUAAGGAUUUGGGAGUGUGAAAAGAGAAUCAUUGAAGUUAUGUUCAAUUGAUCUAGUUCACAAAGUAAAGAUCAUAGACAAACAUAGUAUGCAUACUUGGUGUGUGGCAUGACUAGUGUUUAAGAAAACAUAGUGUACAUGCUUGGAGCAUGGGACAACUAUUGUUUUAAAUUCAAGAAUAAAGUUGAUAGCUGAAACAGUAUACAAUGAAUAAUGUGUAAUCAUAUGGUGAUAAAUAAAAGGUGUUUUAUUUAUGUUCAAAGGGUUGAUACCAUAUUGGAUUCAAUUAUUAUUGUGUUUCAUUUUGCAUGUUUUGACUUCCCGAAUAAACUGGGUUAUUCUUCCGGAAUGACUAAGUUAUUCAAACCAUCCACAGUCGGUCAUAUGUUGGAAGUAGAUAUGAAUUAAGACUGUCAUGGGUUGGCUUGUAGAGGUCUAAGGUGUUGGACAAAGGGCUACAACACUCAUGAGUGCUCAUAAGUUCUGAGUAUUGGAUUCAACCCGCGCUCAUUGGAAUCACUUCAUGGAUUUUAUCACGAGUGAUCAUGAGACGAUAAUAUCUUAUAUUCUUCAAACCUAGAGAUAUGAGUUGUUACUAUGAGUUGAUAGUACAUUGAUUGCACGAAAACGCAUUUGGUAACUCGGUGCUAUAAAACGUGCCUUUGUGUAUGAUUCAACAAGUAGUAGAACAAGCCAUAUGAGUCGAAGUUUAUCCAUUCCUUUUACCUUCGGGAUAAAAGCGAUAUCUGUGGGCCCCUCGAUGAUUUGAUGAUGACAAAUGGAAGUGCUCGGCCGGGCCAGGACUGAUUUGAUUUGUUCAAUUAGUCAGUCGUCAUAAAUCGGAAAUCGGGAAACAACAAAUGGACAGAGAGAAUGAUUAUAAUCCAUGUCUCAGUCCAUAUGAUAUCUAGAAUGGAGGAAUAUAUGAUCCCUUAUCUAAUGGACAAGUCAUUGACAAAGGUCAGAGUUCAUCUACAAGGUCAGAGUUCGACAGAAGCUUUUGAGAGCUACGAUUGCCAGUUGGUUCCUGAAGUCAUACGCAAUAAUAGUUUUAGACUUAUCCAAGUGGGAGACUGUUGGAUUAAUGUCUAAGUCCAUAACUAUAAUUGGUAAGACUUGACCCGACCCGGCAUGGUCCAUUUGGGUUGCAUACCAUCAUGCACUUGGAUAGACUAUAAUGAGAGAAAUAAGACACUUAUGGUUAUUAAUAUAUUAUAAGUUCUAGUAUAUUAAUAAUAAGAAUAAUAAGAUUAUUUAAUUAGUAUUGAUCAAGAAUUAAUCUAGGAUUAAUUAAGUGAUCAAAAGAAGACUAAUUAAAUAUAUGGGUUGAUUGUGUAAAUCAUCCAUACUUGUAUAGUGGGCUAAUGCUCCAUGGAUAAUCAAGUUGGGCUAAAACCCAUAGGAUGGUCCAUGGAUGCUCCAUGGUGUAUUUGUACCCAUGGAUCAUGGAAAUGAAAGGCCAUGUCAAUUAGGGUUUACAUGGUGUAACCCUAACUAUAUAAGCAUCUUAUUCUUGACCAAAUCGGCCACUAGUGUGUGAAUUAAAAGGGCUAGCUGAUUUGAUGAAGUGUAGAAUUCUCUCAAGUUAUUCUAAGUGUUUUGGUGAAUUGUGAUUCCAUUUGAGGCUUCCACACUAUUGGGGCUAGGCACUCAAGCUUCAUGAAGACUUUCUACAUCAAAGAGGUAUGUAUUCUAUCUUGUUACACUCAUUGUUUUUGUAUGCUAGAUUAGGAUUAUACCUUGGAAGUUCUUAUUUGCAUGUAUAAUAGAGAAAACAUAGAUCCAAGGUAUUUAGGGUUGCAUGUACACUUAGGAGUGUUAGAAUGCUCAAAACCCAACAGAUAUGUAUACUGAUGUUUGUUAUGUUGCAUUUUCAGUAUGGUGACGCUACGCACUAGACCAGUUGGCACUUCAGGCACUGGUGACGGAUCAUGAUUGGGCUCUAGAGCCGGGCAGUUAAACGAGCAGAUGAGAGAGUUCAUCUAUUUCGAGGUCACGCACAACAUUUUAGACCAGACUCCUAUGAUCUUCGGUACAAUGAAUAAAGGUAUCUUGGAGCUGUUGGAUGAGAGACUGAGUGCAUUCCGUACUGAGGUGGCCGCCAUGAUGGGGUCGCGCACGCUGAUGUUCAGGGAGUUUCGAGCUUGCGGAGCUCCAGACUACCAUAGGGCUCGGGACCCCAUUGCUAGUAGUAGGUGGUUGGAUGAUGUUGCCAAUGCCUUCCCCACGAGUCAAUUUCCUGAAGGGGACAAGGUUCGACUCGC